GUACACUCCUGCGGGAGGCAGCAGUGGGGAAUAUUGCACAAUGGGCGCAAGCCUGAUGCAGCCAUGCCGCGUGUAUGAAGAAGGCCUUCGGGUUGUAAAGUACUUUCAGCGGGGAGGAAGGCAAUACGGUUAAUAACCGUGUUGAUUGACGUUACCCGCAGAAGAAGCACCGGCUAACUCCGUGCCAGCAGCCGCGGUAAUACGGAGGGUGCAAGCGUUAAUCGGAAUUACUGGGCGUAAAGCGCACGCAGGCGGUCUGUCAAGUCGGAUGUGAAAUCCCCGGGCUCAACCUGGGAACUGCAUUCGAAACUGGCAGGCUUGAGUCUUGUAGAGGGGGGUAGAAUUCCAGGUGUAGCGGUGAAAUGCGUAGAGAUCUGGAGGAAUACCGGUGGCGAAGGCGGCCCCCUGGACAAAGACUGACGCUCAGGUGCGAAAGCGUGGGGAGCAAACAGGAUUAGAAACCCCUGUAGUCCCAUGA
rnacentral:rRNA from 1 species